ensembl:piRNA 21ur-3791 ncRNA
UAGGAAAAUCGUUCACAUUCC